rnacentral:rRNA from 1 species
AUUGAACGCUGGCGGCAGGCCUAACACAUGCAAGUCGAGCGGAUGAAGGGAGCUUGCUCCUGGAUUCAGCGGCGGACGGGUGAGUAAUGCCUAGGAAUCUGCCUGGUAGUGGGGGAUAACGUCCGGAAACGGGCGCUAAUACCGCGUACGUCCUGAGGGAGUAAGUGGGGGAUCUUCGGACCUCACGCUAUCAGAUGAGCCUAGGUCGGAUUAGCUAGUUGGUGGGGUAAAGGCCUACCAAGGCGACGAUCCGUAACUGGUCUGAGAGGAUGAUCAGUCACACUGGAACUGAGACACGGUCCAGACUCCUACGGGAGGCAGCAGUGGGGAAUAUUGGACAAUGGGCGAAAGCCUGAUCCAGCCAUGCCGCGUGUGUGAAGAAGGUCUUCGGAUUGUAAAGCACUUUAAGUUGGGAGGAAGGGCAGUAAGUUAAUACCUUGCUGUUUUGACGUUACCAACAGAAUAAGCACCGGCUAACUUCGUG